AGAAAAAGGCAAGCCAUGGUUUUGCAGCAGAUGUGGCAAGGUGGGGUGGAUAUAGAGUCUAGGAGCUUAGAGGCCCUCUGGUGAAAGGAGAUACCCCUGGUUAGCAUCCAGGAUGUAGCUAGACAUUGUUCCAGGGCUCUGGAGACACUACGGCCAAGGUGGGCCAACCUAAAUUAAAAAAACGACCCGCAGAGUGACAGCAAGCAAAUCCUCAACGAAUCCAAAGAACCCUAGCACACCCACCCCUGCACCGGGAUCCCAAAUCUGGCUUGGAAACGCUGAAGUAGGAAAGGGGGAGAGACAGAAAGUGAGACUACAGGGGACCCCUAAACAGAAUC